UCUGUUCCUGUCAAUCGAAAGGAGCAUAGUGCACGGUGUGUUUAACACCGUCUCUGGUGCCUGCGGAACAGAAAUCACCAUUAACACAACCACGUUAACCUUCACUUAAGUGGUGAAAUACAACUGAAGCCUUAUUUUGGAUCCAGCUUUAAAUUUAAACCGCAACCUACAGGACUUAAGGAGCCAGAGUUGGAACAUCUGAAAACAUCAUAAUGUCUUAUGACCGUAUUCUGUCCAUUGAAAAUUUGAGUGAUGUUCCAAAUCCAUGGAAAGGAUUCACUAUGAACCGCUGCUUAGUGCUGGCACUGGUUGUACUGCUUGUGAGCUCAGCGGUCAGUGAACUGCACGAUGCAAUGGAUUCCUUUGUUGAGGAGACAGGUAUAAGGUCUUUCUUAAGAAGUCUACAGGAUGGUUCAAUACUACAGAUUUCCAUAUGGGACAAUUUCAUGGGGUGGUGGGAAUCCGAAGAACUUGGAGCGAUGAGAAGAAGGAAAAAGCCGAUUGGCAACAAAGCCAUCCUAAAACCCAAACCUAAAGUAUGAUUUGUAUACAAAACAUAGAUGUUAUCAAUUGUCAUAACAAACGUUUUUUCUGAAUAAAGUUUGUAUUAUAGAGAACGCCAUUUCAUUUGUUGGGCAGGACAUGAUUUAUUCAGAAAUGUUUAUGACAUUUAAUACAUAUUUUAAAUCAAAAUCUAUCAUUAUCACUAAUAUAGAAAUGUCACUUACUACCACAUUGUAACAUAAUCUUAUAUUGUCAUCAGCAGUCAUCAAGUUAUUAACAAUUUGGUAGUUUUAGAACAAUAUAUUCUUUUUUUAUUGGUGCAUAAAACAUUACAUGAAGCCAUAGGACAUUUGGACAGUUUUAAAACAUACAGACAUUAAGACAAGUACUGAACAAUGAUUUAUAUUGAUCUGGGAGGUUGAGUUGGCUAGUGGUGUGACAUGACAAUGCUUUCUAUGAUAACUGAAAUCUUAAUUAAAGCACAAAAAAGUGGUCUUCUGGAUGAUAAGAGGUUUGCCCUGAAUAAACAAUGGCUUUUUAUUCAAAUUACUUCUUAGAUAAUAAAAAUUAAAUAUUUACAGAGGGAGAUGAUAAUACUCAUAUUUAACUUCUUUUGGUUUGAAUAAAAAUUAUUAGUUCUAAGUGUGAGAAUAAUGCAAAUAAGACAUUGUCUAUAUAUGUGAAAGUAUAGCUUAAAGAGAUGUCUGAAUUAACAUGUGCAUUUACUACCAGUGUAUUGAUACUGUGUGAUUGAAUAAAUGACAAUUAAGUAACAAUUAAAGGCAAACUGUUGAUUUUCAA